GAUGAACGCUAGCGGCAGGCCUAACACAUGCAAGUCGAGGGGUAACAGGGAAGCUUGCUUCCGCUGACGACCGGCGCACGGGUGCGUAACGCGUAUACAAUCUACCUUUUGCUGUGGGAUAGCCCAGAGAAAUUUGGAUUAAGACCACAUGGUAUUAAGACAUGGCAUCAUGAUUUAAUUAAAGGUUACGGCAAAAGAUGAGUAUGCGUCCUAUUAGCUAGAUGGUGUGGUAACGGCACACCAUGGCAACGAUAGGUAGGGGUCCUGAGAGGGAGAUCCCCCACACUGGUACUGAGACACGGACCAG
rnacentral:rRNA from 1 species